rnacentral:rRNA from 1 species
CAAUAGCGUAUAUUAAAGUUGUUGCAGUUAAAAAGCUCGUAGUUGGAUUUGUGGCGUACGGUGUGUUCCGGGCACUUGUUGUCUGAGUAACCUGCUGUUGCCAUCCUUGGGUGGAACCUGUGUGGCAUUAGGUUGUCGUGCAGGGGAUGCCCAUCAUUUACUGUGAAAAAAUUAGAGUGUUCAAAGCAGGCUUAUGCCGUUGAAUAUAUUAGCAUGGAAUAAUGAGAUAGGACUUUUUUGCUAUUUUGUUGGUUUGCGCAAGAAGGUAAUGAUUAAUAGGGACAGUUGGGGGUAUUCGUAUUCCAUUGUCAGAGGUGAAAUUCUUGGAUUUUUGGAAGACGAACUACUGCGAAAGCGUUUACCAAGGAUGUUUUCAUUAA